AUGAAAACCAUGGCACAAAAAAGUGAGAAAGAGAACUCUGUAGGCAGACGCGAAAUUGAUAGUCAUACCGGAGACCGUGUGCGGGGCCUGCGUUGCCGGCCGAUCCAGCACGACGUUGAGGGGCGUCGGACCCGUAUCCUCGUCGCCCCCGGGGGCGACGGAAGGGGGCGCCGCCACAACCAUGCUGUCUGGGAACGUGGGGCGCCCGCGCCGUCGCCUGCCUCCUCGACGGUCGGGGGCGCUGUCCUCCUUGGAGUUGGGAACCGGAAGGUUCUGCCGGGAGUCGGUGGCGGACGUGCCGACGUGAAGGGCGCCGCCAUCACUGGUCAGGCGCGGCAGCGGCCAGGAGACGAACAUUUCUUUAAAAAAAAUAUUAUCCAGAGCAAGGGUAUUUUGGGGAUGUACAAGAACUGCUGCGUUUUGUCUCUUCUUUUUGACGGCAACGAGGACCAGCAGAUGAUGCUGCAUCAAUCAUGGAUGGCCCAGGCCACGGUGGUUCCUCGAACUUGA
rnacentral:rRNA from 1 species